ACUCUCUCUCUCUCUCUCUCUCUCUCUCUCUCUCUCUCUCUCUCUACUGGUACUACUGCUACCAUGAAUGACUCUCUUCACUGUCUCUCUCUGUCUCUUGUACCAAAUCCACAAAACAAGGAUGACAUUGCUAAGACAUUUAAAGUUCAAAUUUUUCUCUAUCUUCCCCUUUCUCUCUCUUAAAUCUCUCUCUCUCUCUCUCUCUCUCUAAAAAUGGUUACAAACCUAUAAAACCCUUUUCUCGUG
rnacentral:lncRNA from 1 species